rnacentral:lncRNA from 1 species
UGGAAAAUGGUAGUGAUAGGGGGAAAAAAUUGAAAGGAAAUAGGGUACGGAAUGCAAAUAGGGGAGAAGUUGUGUGUAGGAAGUACAAAUACUCUUGAAUAUACUCCCUAAGAGAUAUUGGGUUCAAGUUUUGGAAAAAAUGAUUAUUAAUAGGUAUGUAGAUUAAUAAAAUAAAAGUUUACAUGAGACUCUUUUAGCAUUGUGCAAAUAUAAACGUAUGGCAUCUUCACUAAUAAUCAUAUGUGACUUCUCAUGAAGCAUAUAGAAUUAUGGUUUGUAAAACC